rnacentral:rRNA from 1 species
ACUCCUACGGGAGGCAGCAGUGGGGAAUAUUGCACAAUGGGCGCAAGCCUGAUGCAGCAACGCCGUGUGAGUGAAGAAGGUUUUCGGAUCGUAAAACUCUGUCCUAAGGGAAGAAACAAAUGACGGUACCUUAGGAGGAAGCCCCGGCUAACUACGUGCCAGCAGCCGCGGUAAUACGUAGGGGGCAAGCGUUAUCCGGAAUCACUGGGCGUAAAGGGUGCGUAGGCGGCUUAGCAAGCCAGGGGUGAAAGGCAUUGGCUCAACCAAUGUAAGCCUUUGGAACUGUUAAGCUUGAGUGCAGGAGAGGUAAGUGGAAUUCCUAGUGUAGAGGUGAAAUUCGUAGAUAUUAGGAGGAACACCAGUGGCGAAGGCGACUUACUGGACUGUAACUGACGCUGAUGCACGAAAGCGUGGGUAGCGAACAGGAUUAGAUACCCUGGGAGCACAGAG